rnacentral:rRNA from 1 species
UGGGGAAUAUUGGACAAUGGGGGCAACCCUGAUCCAGCGAUGCCGCGUGGGUGAAGAAGGCCUUCGGGUUGUAAAGCCCUUUAGGAUGGGAAGAAGUAUGCGAUCAGAUAAUGGUUGUAUGUUGACGGUACCAUCAGAAUAAGCACCGGCAAACUCUGUGCCAGCAGCCGCGGUAAUACAGAGGGUGCAAGCGUUAAUCGGAAUUACUGGGCGUAAAGGGCGCGUAGGCGGUUAUAUAUGUGUGAUGUGAAAGCCCCGGGCUUAACCUGGGAAGUGCAUCGCAAACUGUAUGACUGGAGUACAGGAGAGGGUGGCGGAAUUUCCGGUGUAGCGGUGAAAUGCGUAGAGAUCGGAAGGAACGUCAAUGGCGAAGGCAGCCACCUGGCCUGAUACUGACGCUGAGGCGCGAAAGCGUGGGGAGCGAACAGGAUUAGAUACCCCCGUAGUCC